GGCCCAUCCCUUCCGCAUUGCGCCGCCGCCGUGGGCGGAAGGACCGCCCCUCGUGAGGGAAGGGGCGGGGCGUGCGCGGGAGCCCCUGCCCACAAGGACCCCGGCCGGCGGAGAAUCUUUGUGCCGCAGUCGCUGACGCCUGUGGCGAUCUUCGCUGUUGUCCGCUCAGUGGCUGCGGGCCCAGCUCCCGGGAAGCCGCGAGAGCGAGGAUCUGGUUUCCCCGGCUCCCUCACGUGGGCUCUUCGGUGCACACCAGCCUCCCCGUGGGCGCCAGGGAGGGACUCCCGGGAAGAACUAUGAGGGGGGCUGGUGGCUGACACGUGCCCGUGGGCGUCAGAACCACCCCCGACCAGACGGUCGACAGGGGCGGGGCUGCGAUCCAGGAGAGCGGGCUGCGCCUGAAGAGCUGUCCAUGGUGUCUGAGAGCAGCGAGAAGCAAGACAACCCACCCUGUUUUCAGGACUCAAAUACAUUAGAAAAGAAGCCACACCCAAAUCAAGAAGAAAUUCAAAAGCACUUGCAUUUAGUUGAGUUUUAGCACUUUUUUUUCCUGGUACCAGGGAUCAAACUCGGGACCUUGAGAUUGCGAGGCAGGCACAGUGACACUGAGCUAUCGUUUAGCACUCUUAAACUUUAAUUCUUCAUAGUGGUUGCCCACAACUGCCUCAAAAUUAAUUUUAAAAUAAUCAAACUAGUCUGUGCUUAUUUUUUCUUCCUAGAAAAGCAUAUUUGAAUUGAGAACUCACUUGACAAGAG
rnacentral:lncRNA from 1 species